GACGAACGCUGGCGGCAUGCUUAACACAUGCAAGUCGAACGGAAAGGCCCUGCUUGCAGGGUACUCGAGUGGCGAACGGGUGAGUAACACGUGGGUGAUCUGCCCUGCACUUCGGGAUAAGCCUGGGAAACUGGGUCUAAUACCGGAUAGGAGCCAUUUUUAGUGUGAUGGUUGGAAAGUUUUUUCGGUGUAGGAUGAGCUCGCGGCCUAUCAGCUUGUUGGUGGGGUAAUGGCCUACCAAGGCGGCGACGGGUAGCCGGCCUGAGAGGGUGGACGGCCACAUUGGGACUGAGAUACGGCCCAGACUCCUACGGGAGGCAGCAGUGGGGAAUAUUGUACAAUGGGCGCAAGCCUGAUGCAGCGACGCCGCGUGGGGGAUGACGGCCUUCGGGUUGUAAACUCCUUUCGCUAGGGACGAAGCUUUUUGUGACGGUACCUAGAUAAGAAGCACCGGCUAACUACGUG
rnacentral:rRNA from 1 species